rnacentral:lncRNA from 1 species
GAAGAGACGCAAGUUCGGCCGGGUGAGAGCUGGGCAAAUCCAGUAGUGGAUCGAGGAUUGACCAAUCGCAAGGGUUGAGGCCUCGGUCCCCUUUUAUCCAUCGGCCUUCGUGGUGAAUAAGCACAAGCGCCGUCUUACUUCACCAGGAUGGAGUGGCCGCGGGCUCCCAGGCCUUGUCCUCUGAGAGGAUUGUGCUUGUCAGCACGAGUGAACCUAGAAGAUGGGAGCUCUCCAUAAGAAGACGGCCAGCAGUGUUUGCAGGGGUCCUGCACUGUGCGACCUGCCCUCGGUGUCACAGCAUCCUCCAGUACCAUCUUCUGUGUGUGCUGCCCCGUGCACACGAUGGGUAAACACACACUGGUCUAAUCUAACCCACCGAGACCUCCAGAGGAUUAGUGUUCUUAUCCCAAAGUACAGGACUUUUUGGCCAAGGUCUAAUGACCUAUGGAUGCCCCAAACCAAAGAUACCUUGUUGAUUUCCAACCUACAAGAGAAAAAAAAAAAAAAAAAAAAAAAAAAAAACAG